AUUUAAACAGCUUGUUAGUGGUCCCGACUGUUAGAGUGCCAAUCUAUAUUUUAUAUUCUAAAAAUAGGUCCUCAUUUUUAAAUCUCCCAGAAAACCCCUUUAAUCAUCACAGCGAGUUAAAGCAUACUAUCUGCUACAUCUGAACAGUAACAGUGAAGCAGUCCGGAGUGGUAA